GCUUGUCUCAAAGAUUAAGCCAUGCAUGUCUAAGUAUAAGCAAUUAUACCGUGAAACUGCGUAUGGCUCAUUAAAUCAGUUAUAGUUUAUUUGAUGAUACCUCACUACAUGGAUAACCGUAGUAAUUCUAGAGCUAAUACAUGCGCAAAGUCCCGACUCUUCGGAAGGGAUGUAUUUAUUAGAUAAAAAACCAACCCUUCGGGUUCUUUGGUGAUUCAUAAUAACUAAUCGGAGCCCAUGACUUACGUCGGGGCCAGGUCAUUCAAAUUUCUGCCCUAUCAGCUUUUGAUGGUAGUGUAGUGGACUACCAUGGCAUUAACGGGUGACGGAGAAUUAGGGUUCGAUUCCGGAGAGGGAGCCUGAGAAACGGCUACCACAUCCAAGGAAGGCAGCAGG
rnacentral:rRNA from 1 species